rnacentral:rRNA from 1 species
UACNUGCAGUUGACGAGAAAGUAUCUUCGGAUGCGAGUACAGUGGCGGACGGGUGAGUAAUACAUAGGAAUCUACCCAAUGGAGGGGGAUAGCUCGAGGAAACUCGAAUUAAUACCGCAUAAUCUCCACGGAGUAAAGAGGGCUUCGGCUCUCGCCAUCGGAUGAGCCUAUGCAAGACUAGCUUGUUGGUAAGGUAAUGGCUUACCAAGGCUACGAUCUUUAGCUGGUUUGAGAGGACGACCAGCCACAUCGGGACUGAGACACGGCCCGGACUUCUACGGAAGGCAGCAGUAGGGAAUAUUGGACAAUGAGCGAAAGCUUGAUCCAGCCAUGCCGCAUGUGCGAUGAAGACCUUAGGGUUGUAAAGCACUUUAGGUUAUGAGAAAAGAUUUGGUAUUAAUACCACCAAAUUUUGAUGUUAAUUUCAGAAUAAGCACCGGCUAAAUCCGUGCCAGCAGCCGCGGUAAUACGGAUGGUGCAAGCGUUAAUCGGAAUUACUGGGCGUAAAGCGCGCGUAGGUGGCCUAUCAAGUUAGAUGUGAAAUCCCGGGGCUUAACCUCGGAACUGCAUCUAAAACUGAUAAGCUAGAGUACUAGAGAGGAAAGUAGAAUUCUUAGUGUAGCGGUGGAAUGCGUAGAUAUUAAGAGGAAUACCAAUGGCGAAGGCAACUUUCUGGAUAGAUACUGACACUGANGUGCGAAAGCGUGGGGAGCAAACAGGAUUAGAUACCCUGGUAGUCCACGCCGUAAACGAUGAUAACUAGCCGUUGGAAUUUUCAGUGGCGCAGCUAACGCAAUAAGUUAUCCGCCUGGGGAGUA